rnacentral:rRNA from 1 species
CCUACGGGUGGCAGCAGUCGAGAAUUUUUCUCAAUGGGCGCAAGCCUGAAGGAGCGACGCCGCGUGGGGGAUGAAGGGUUUCGAUCCGUAAACCCCUGUCAUUCGUGAACAAUGCUUGCCCAUGAAUAAUGGGUGAGUUGAUAGUAACGGAAGAGGAAGGGACGGCUAACUCUGUGCCAGCAGCCGCGGUAAUACAGAGGUCCCGAGCGUUGUUCGGAUUCACUGGGCGUAAAGGGUGCGUAGGUGGCUUGGUAAGUUUGAUGUGAAAGCUCAGGGCUUAACCCUGAAAUGGCAUUGAAUACUAUUGAGCUGGAGGUUUGGAGGGGGGACUGGAAUUCUCGGUGUAGCAGUGAAAUGCGUAGAUAUCGAGAGGAACACCAGUGGCGAAGGCGAGUCCCUGGACAACACCUGACACUGAGGCACGAAAGCUAGGGGAGCAA